CUACGGAGGGGGCUAGCGUUGUGCGGAAUUACUGGGCGUAAAGCGUACGUAGGCGGACUGAUCAGUUGGGGGUGAAAUCCCAGGGCUUAACCCUGGAACUGCCUUCAAUACUGUCAGUCUUGAGAUUGGAAGAGGUGAGUGGAAUUCCUAGUGUAGAGGUGAAAUUCAUAGAUAUUAGGAGGAACACCAGUGGCGAAGGCGGCUCACUGGUCCAAUACUGACGCUGAGGUACGAAAGCGUGGGGAGCAAACAGGAUUAGAAACCCUAGUAGUCC
rnacentral:rRNA from 1 species